GGUCCGGGGGUGUGUUCUGGGAGGGGGCAGUGGCGGUGAGGCCCGGAAUCCCUCGAGUCUGGGGUUCGGGGCCAGGCCAGGCUCGGAGAGUGGGGAGGCGGUCAUCCCGGACUGAGGAUCCCAGGCGGCAGGGCCGGGGGUCACGGGGCUGGGCUCCGGCCUCCGGAGGUCCUCCAGCCCCUGGCCCAUGUCCCUCUGGCAUCGCGGAGGAGAUCCUGCCCCAGAAUACCUACAUCCGCCCCCAGUGAGCCUGCAUCAUUCCACACCUCCCCUACCCCCACCGCAGUCUCCCCGGGAUCAGUCCGGGACAAAGAGCUCCUGUCCAGCCCUGCAGAGGCCCCACAGCCGCCCGGCGCCCCAGACAUGGCCGGCCCCUGCACUGGAGUAUGCCUGCCUCG